AUUGAACGCUGGCGGCAGGCCUAACACAUGCCAGUCGAGCGGAUGAAGGGAGCUUGCUCCUGGAUUCAGCGGCGGACGGGUGAGUAAUGCCUAGGAAUCUGCCUGGUAGUGGGGGAUAACGUCCGGAAACGGGCGCUAAUACCGCAUACGUCCUGAGGGAGAAAGUGGGGGAUCUUCGGACCUCACGCUAUCAGAUGAGCCUAGGUCGGAUUAGCUAGUUGGUGGGGUAAAGGCCUACCAAGGCGACGAUCCGUAACUGGUCUGAGAGGAUGAUCAGUCACACUGGAACUGAGACACGGUCCAGACUCCUACGGGAGGCAGCAGUGGGGAAUAUUGGACAAUGGGCGAAAGCCUGAUCCAGCCACGCCGCGUGUGUGAAGAAGGUCUUCGGAUUGUAAAGCACUUUAAGUUGGGAGGAAGGGCAGUAAGUUAAUACCUUGCUGUUUUGACGUUACCAACAGAAUAAGCACCGGCUAACUUCGUG
rnacentral:rRNA from 1 species